rnacentral:rRNA from 1 species
AUAACGGUCCUAAGGUAGCGAAAUUCCUUGUCAGGUAAGUUCUGACCCGCACGAAUGGCGUAACGACUUGAGAGCUGUCUCAACAACAUACCCGGCGAAAUUGAAGUACUGGUAAAGAUGCCAGUUACCCGUGAUAAGACGGAAAGACCCCAUGGAGCUUUACUGUAACUUGAUAUUGAAUUUUUGUAUUACAUGUACAGGAUAGGUGGGAGACAGAGAACUAAUGCCGCCAGGUGUUAGGGAGUCGAUGUUGGGAUACCACUCUUGUAAUAUGAAGGUUCUAACCUGCACCCGUGAAUCCGGGUGGGGGACACUGUCAGGUGGACAGUUUGACUGGGGCGGUCGCCUCCUAAAAGGUAACGGAGGCGUUCAAAGGUUGGUUCAGCACGGACGGAAAUCGUGCAACGAGUGCAAACGCAUAAACCAGCCUAACUGCGAGACCGACAAGUCGAGCAGUAACGAAAGUUGGAGUUAGUGAUCCGGCGGUAUGAGAGUGGAAUUGCCGUCGCUCAACGGAUAAAAGCUACCCUGGGGAUAACAGGCUGAUCUCCCCCAAGAGUCCACAUCGACGGGGAGGUUUGGCACCUCGAUGUCGGCUCAUCGCAUCCUGGAGCUGUAGCAGGUUCCAAGGGUUGGGCUGUUCGCCCAUUAAAGCGGUACGCGAGCUGGGUUCAGAACGUCGCGAGACAGUUCGGUCCCUAUCUAUCACGGGCGUAGGAAAUUUGAGGAGAGCUGACCUUAGUACGAGAGGACCGGGUUGGACGUACCGCUGGUGCACCUGUUGUUCUGCCAAGGGCAUAGCAGGGUAGCUAAGUACGGACGGGAUAAACGCUGAAGGCAUCUAAGCGUGAAGCCCCCUUCGAGAUAAGAUUUCCCAUAGCGUAGGCUAGUAAGGACCCAUGAAGACUACAUGGUUGAUAGGCCGGAGGUGGAAGUGCAGUAAUGUAUGUAGCUGACCGGUACUAAUAGUCCGAGGGCUUGACCAA